rnacentral:lncRNA from 1 species
AUAAUUGACUUCCAACUAAACGGUCGCUAUCAAUACACUACCAAAAAAUAAACUAAUACUUACUUUAAUUCCAAUGAAAUAGGAUCGGAUUCUCUAAGAUCUAAAAUCUUAUCAAAUCCAUAAUAACAAAGAUCUCAAUACAACGUAAGACUAAGUACAAUAGAAUAAAAUUAAAAAUAACUAAAUAGAAUGGAACUUGAAAGAUAAGAUUGAAUAGAGGAGAAUAGAACCCACCAAAACUAAAUAUAAUGAAAAAAAAAACCAAACUUUACUAAGAAAAAGAGUCUAAAGCCAUACUUGAAUAAAUAUCCAAAUGGCCUCAAUCAAUCAUAUUUAUACUUUGUUCAACUAUCUUCAAACUUUUUAGAAUAUUCUUAAUGGUCAACUCUAUCAAAAUAAUCAUCCUUCUAAAAGAUUUUAGAGGUGGAUUCUACGAUGAUAA